UACGUAGGGUGCGAGCGUAAUCGGAAUUACUGGGCGUAAAGCGUGCGCAGGCGGCUUUGCAAGACAGAUGUGAAAUCCCCGGGCUUAACCUGGGGAACUGCAUUUGUGACUGCAUGGCUGGAGUGCGGCAGAGGGGGAUGGAAUUCCGCGUGUAGCAGUGAAAUCGUAGAUAUCAGGAGGAACACCAAUGGCGAAGGCAGCUCGCUGGGACGGUACUGACGCUGAGGCGCGAAAGCUAGGGGAGCAAACGGG
rnacentral:rRNA from 1 species